UACGGAGGGAGCUAGCGUUGUUCGGAAUUACUGGGCGUAAAGCGCACGUAGGCGGCUUUGUAAGUUAGAGGUGAAAUCCCGGAGCUCAACUUCGGAACUGCCUUUGAUACAGCACGUCUUGAGUCCAGAAGAGGUGGGUGGAAUUCCUAGUGUAGAGGUGAAAUUCGUAGAUAUUAGGAAGAACACCGGUGGCGAAGGCGGCCCACUGGUCCGGUACUGACGCUGAGGUGCGAAAGCGUGGGGAGCAAACAGG
rnacentral:rRNA from 1 species